rnacentral:tRNA from 1 species
GGAGUUGUGGCUCAGUGGUAGAGCACUUGCCUCACAUGUAUGCGGCACUGGUUCUAAUACUCAGCACUA